rnacentral:rRNA from 1 species
UGGGGAAUUUUGGACAAUGGGCGAAAGCCUGAUCCAGCCAUGCCGCGUGAGUGAAGAAGGCCUUCGGGUUGUAAAGCUCUUUUAGUCGGAAAGAAAGAGUUGCAAUGAAUAAUUGUGAUUUAUGACGGUACCGACAGAAAAAGCACCGGCUAACUACGUGCCAGCAGCCGCGGUAAUACGUAGGGUGCGAGCGUUAAUCGGAAUUACUGGGCGUAAAGGGUGCGCAGGCGGUCUUGCAAGUCAGAUGUGAAAGCCCCGGGCUUAACCUGGGAACUGCGUUUGAAACUACAAGGCUAGAGUGCAGCAGAGGGGAGUGGAAUUCCAUGUGUAGCAGUGAAAUGCGUAGAGAUGUGGAAGAACACCGAUGGCGAAGGCAGCUCCCUGGGUUGACACUGAUGCUCAUGCACGAAAGCGUGGGGAGCAAACA